UCUCUCGUGGUCCAAUCGGCAGUGACGCCCGGCUCUGGACCGGGAGAUUCAGGUUCGAGUCCUGGCGAGAGAG
rnacentral:tRNA from 1 species